rnacentral:tRNA from 1 species
UCCCUGGUGGUCUGGUGGUUAAGACUCUACGCUCUCAAUGCAGGGGACCCAGGUUCAAUCCUUGGUGGGGGAA